GGGUUGUGAGGUUAAGCGACUAAGCGUACACGGUGGAUGCCCUGGCAGUCAGAGGCGAUGAAGGACGUGCUAAUCUGCGAAAAGCGUCGGUAAGGUGAUAUGAACCGUUAUAACCGGCGAUGUCCGAAUGGGGAAACCCAGUGCAAUUCGUUGCACUAUCGUUAACUGAAUACAUAGGUUAACGAGGCGAACCGGGGGAACUGAAACAUCUAAGUACCCCGAGGAAAAGAAAUCAACCGAGAUUCCCCCAGUAGCGGCGAGCGAACGGGGAGCAGCCCAGAGUCUGAAUCAGCUUGUGUGUUAGUGGAACGGUCUGGAAAGUCCGACGGUACAGGGUGAUAGUCCCGUACACCAAAAUGCACAGGUUGUGAACUCGAAGAGUAGGGCGGGACACGUGGUAUCCUGUCUGAAUAUGGGGGGACCAUCCUCCAAGGCUAAAUACUCCUGACUGACCGAUAGUGAACCAGUACCGUGAGGGAAAGGCGAAAAGAACCCCGGCGAGGGGAGUGAAAAAGAACCUGAAACCGUGUACGUACAAGCAGUGGGAGCACCUUCGGGUGUGACUGCGUACCUUUUGUAUAAUGGGUCAGCGACUUAUAUUCUGUAGCAAGGUUAACCGUAUAGGGGAGCCGCAGGGAAACCGAGUCUUAACUGGGCGUUAAGUUGCAGGGUAUAGACCCGAAACCCGGUGAUCUAGCCAUGGGCAGGUUGAAGGUUGGGUAACACUA
rnacentral:rRNA from 1 species